rnacentral:rRNA from 1 species
GGUUAAGUGACGAAGCGUAUACGGUGGAUGCCUUGGCAGUUAGAGGCGAUGAAGGACGUGUAAGUCUGCGAAAAGCUGUGGUGAGCCGACAAAAUGCAUUUGAGCCACAGAUGUCCGAAUGGGGAAACCCACCUAUUUAUAGGUAUCGUUAACUGAAUACAUAGGUUAACGAGGCAAACGAGGGGAACUGAAACAUCUAAGUACCCUUAGGAAAAGAAAUCAACCGAGAUUCCCCUAGUAGCGGCGAGCGAACGGGGAGCAGCCCUUAAGCUGUUUAGAAUUUAGUGGAAUCCUUUGGGAAGAGGAGCGAUACAAGGUGAUAGCCCUGUACACGACGGAUUCUUUACAGUGAAAUCGAGUAGGUCGGGACACGUGUUAUCUUGACUGAAUAUGGGGGGACCAUCCUCCAAGGCUAAAUACUCCUAACUGACCGAUAGUGAACCAGUACCGUGAGGGAAAGGCGAAAAGAACCCCUGUGAGGGGAGUGAAAUAGAACCUGAAACCGUAUACGUACAAGCAGUGGGAGCCCUUCGGGGUGACUGCGUACCUUUUGUAUAAUGGGUCAGCGACUUAUAUUUAGUAGCAAGGUUAAGUGAAUAACGGAGCCGUAGCGAAAGCGAGUGUUAACUGCGCGUUUAGUUGCUAGGUAUAGACCCGAAACCCGGUGAUCUAGCCAUGGGCAGGUUGAAGGUUGAGUAACAUCAACUGGAGGACCGAACCCACUAACGUUGAAAAGUUAGGGGAUGACCUGUGGCUGGGGGUGAAAGGCCAAUCAAACCGGGAGAUAGCUGGUUCUCCCCGAAAUCUAUUUAGGUAGAGCCUCGGACGAAUUCCAUUGGGGGUAGAGCACUGUUAAGGCUAGGGGGUCAUCCCGACUUACCAACCCUUUGCAAACUCCGAAUACCAAUGAGAACUAUCCGGGAGACACACGGCGGGUGCUAACGUCCGUCGUGGAGAGGGAAACAACCCAGACCGCCAGCUAAGGUCCCAAAAUAUUGCUAAGUGGGAAACGAUGUGGGAAGGCAUAGACAGCUAGGAGGUUGGCUUAGAAGCAGCCACCCUUUAAAGAAAGCGUAAUAGCUCACUAGUCGAGUCGGCCUGCGCGGAAGAUGUAACGGGGCUAAGCAAUAUACCGAAGCUGCGGCAGCAUGUUUACAUGCUGGGUAGGGGAGCGUUGUGUAAGUGGAUGAAGGUGAGUUGUAAAGCUUGCUGGACAUAUCACAAGUGCGAAUGCUGACAUGAGUAACGAUAAUGGGAGUGAAAAACUCCCACGCCGGAAGACCAAGGUUUCCUGUCCCAUGCUAAUCAGGGCAGGGUAAGUCGGCCCCUAAGGCGAGGCAGAAAUGCGUAGUCGAUGGGAAACGGGUUAAUAUUCCCGUACUUAUAUAAUCAGUGAUGGAGGGACGGAGAAGGCUAGGCAAGCUUGGCGUUGGUUGUCCAAGUGAAAGUGAGUAGGCUGGAAUUUUAGGUAAAUCCGGAAUUCUAAGGCCGAGACACGAGACGAGCUCCCAAGGGAGUGAAGUUGUUGAUGCCCUGCUUCCAGGAAAAGCUUCUAAACUUAUGAUUAUAUGAACCGUACCCCAAACCGACACAGGUGGUCAGGUAGAGAAUACUAAGGCGCUUGAGAGAACUCGGGUGAAGGAACUCGGCAAAAUUGUACCGUAACUUCGGGAGAAGGUACGCCUCUGUUUGUGAACACUUCGCGUGGUAAGCAAAUGGAGGCCGCAGUGACCAGGUGGCUGGGACUGUUUAUUAAAAACACAGCACUCUGCAAACUCGUAAGAGGACGUAUAGGGUGUGACACCUGCCCGGUGCCGGAAGGUUAAUUGAUGGGGUUAGUUUUCGGACGAAGCUCUUGAUCGAAGCCCCGGUAAACGGCGGCCGUAACUAUAACGGUCCUAAGGUAGCGAAAUUCCUUGUCGGGUAAGUUCCGACCUGCACGAAUGGUGUAACCAUGGCCACGCUGUCUCCACCCGAGACUCAGUGAAAUUGAAAUCGCAGUGAAGAUGCUGUGUACCCGCACCUAGACGGAAAGACCCCGUGAACCUUUACUACAGCUUGGCACUGAACAUUGAACCUACAUGUGUAGGAUAGGUGGGAGGCUUUGAAGCACAGUCGCUAGAUUGUGUGGAGCCGUCCUUGAAAUACCACCCUUGUAUGUUUGAUGUUCUAACAUUGUUCCCUUAUCGGGAAUGUGGACAGUGUCUGGUGGGUAGUUUGACUGGGGCGGUCUCCUCCCAAAUAGUAACGGAGGAGCACGAAGGUUAGCUAAUCACGGUCGGACAUCGUGAGGUUAGUGCAAUGGCAUAAGCUA